AUACGGAGGGUGCAAGCGUUAUUCGGAAUCACUGGGCGUAAAGGACGCGUAGGCGGGUUGGCAAGUCAGAUGUGAAAUCCUACAGCUUAACUGUAGAACUGCUUUUGAAACUGCUAACCUAGAGUAUGGGAGGGGGAGAUGGAAUUAGUGGUGUAGGGGUAAAAUCCGUAGAUAUCACUAGGAAUACCGAAAGCGAAGGCGAUCUCCUGGAACAUAACUGACGCUAAGGCGUGAAAGCGUGGGGAGCAAACAGGAUUAGAAACCCUAGUAGUCC
rnacentral:rRNA from 1 species